UAUCUACUCCCUCUGUUUCAAAUUAUUUGUCGCAGAAAUGGAUGUAUCUAGAACUAAAAAAUGUCUAGAUACAUUUAUUUCUACGACAAGUAAUUCCGAACGGAGGGAGUACCUU
rnacentral:pre_miRNA from 1 species